rnacentral:lncRNA from 1 species
ACGGCUCCGGGAAACGGUCUUUAGGAGGCCUUGGACAUACGGGGAAGUCCCGUUUCUUUAAGCACGUGAUUCUUCAGAGCUCACAAGAGUUGGUCAGGAGGAGAGGAGCAGCAACUUGAAAAGCCAGAAUUCUGCCAAGGUACUGUGCAAAUUACAAGGCAAUUGAUGGGUUCUUCUGAUGCUUUAGCAGUCAGUUUGAUCACCAAAGAUGUUGACUCCCUGUGUUAACUACCCACCUUGCAUGGCUCGGGAGUGCUAAAUACUGGAACAGGCAAAGCAAAAAAGAAAAACAGUGUAUGCAUCAUGCAUGUGUGUACAGAUCAGGAGUUAAUCUCAGCUGUAGUUCCUUGAGAGCUCUCCCUAUUGAUUUUUGGAGGACAAUGUUUCUCACUGCAACCUUAGGCUCCCUGAUUAGGUGGCACUGGCCAGCUCAAGAGCCACAGAGAUCUGCCAUCAGCUGCUUCCCAGCCCUGGGAGCCUGAUUGACUAGACAUGUCUCCAGGAUCUCAACAGUAAAUGAAAACUCACUACAAAACUCAUAAAGACACUGGCAGAGAAUGGCUCAUUUUCUGAUAUCAGAAGUUUUAUGGAGUUUCAAAGUUGCUGUCCAAGUUCUUAGCAUGUUCGGAAGCAUGGCUGAGGUGAGAUAAAGACAGUCAUCAGGGAAGUCUAAAAUGGGGCAUCGUGUCAAGGUUAUGCUGAUUUUAGCAGAAGUCACUAAAAGGCAUCAAAUUUUGUCACAUCCUCCUCCAGAAAAGUCUUACUAGGUCAACUGACAUUUUUUCUUUAUUUUUAAGAGGUUUAUUUAUUUUAUUAUAUCUGUCUGUCUGUCUGUCUGUCUGUCUGUCUGUCUGUCUGUCUGUCUGUCUACCUAACUACCUACCUAUCAUCUAUCUGUUUGAAUGUUUUGCCUGCAAGUAGUACCACACAGUAAUCUUCAAGGUUAGACGAGACUGUUGAAUCACUUGGAACUGGAGUUACAGAUGGUUGUAAGCCACCAUAUAGGUACUGGGACCUGAACCUGGGUCUUUUUCAAGAUUGAGCAAGUGCUUUUACACACUUAGCCAUCUCUCUAGGCCCAGGUCAGUUGUUCUUUCUUUGUUUCUUUUUUUUUUUUUUAAGAUUUAUUUAUUUAUUUUUAUAUGUAAGUACACUGUAGCUGUCUUCAGACACACCAGAAGAGGGCAUCAGAUCUCAUUACGGAUGGUUGUGAGCCACCAUGUGGAUGCUGGGAUUUGAACUCAGGACCUUUGCAAGAGCAGUCAGUGCUCUUAACCGCUGAGCCAUCUCACCAGCCCUCAUUUGUUCUUAUUGUAUGACUAUUGUGUUCAAAUCCCUUCUAUUGUCUUACCCUCUGUCCCAGUCCUGUUAGUCAGAAAGGAUUUUGUUUCUAUUUCAUAUGUGACACAAAUUCCUGCUUCGCAGGAUCUAUGCAAUGGUCCAGAACUUUUGAGCAAAGCAAGUCCCUAUAGGAUAAUCUACUAAAUAGGGAUGAGUUGACUGCACCAGCCCUGAAUAGCUGGGCCGUUGUUGUCUAUGUCACAGGUCUUGAGACAGUCUUAGAGGUCAUCUCCAGUAGGAGUCAGGGUACUCUCUCUUCAGUGGUACGUGAAGGCCUUCACAGAGACCCGUGCAUCAUGAACGGGCUGCAGAUGCAGAGAAUCUGAAGAGAUGCAGCACAGUAAGGAGUGGCUCAGAUGCUUGGGCUUGCGCAGCCCCUUCGUCUACCGCGAGAUUAGGACACCGACAGGGAAGAUGGUCAGAGAAGCCUUGGGAGGGUGAUCACGCUGCUCUUCUCAGAAGCGAGUCUGACAGUCGUCCUGUGGAGCACACGCACAUUUAGUGACAGGAGGAGGGCAAGUCACAGAGCCAUGGUGAAGUUUGAGCUCUUGACUCCAUCUUCAUGGGUUUCAUAGGUUAGAUCUGUCCUUUUCAAUGCCAGUGCCAGGUGACUUAUUACCUCACGUGUAAGACGAGAACAAGGAUAGACCCGACAUCACAAUGUCAAGUGUGCUUGCAGUUAAUAACAGAUACUGUAUUGAUAGGAGAUAAAAUUAAGUCAUGCAUCGGAUACUUCUGGACAACUAAGUUGUGAUUUUGUCACAGAUAGGCAUGGGACCUUGCAUGCUUUGAUUCCCCGUGGCCUGUCUUGGUUAUGGACACACGGUGGUAGUACCUCUCAUUACAAUGGUCCUUAAAAUAGUUUCCUUCCACUGCGUUUUAAUAAAUGUGGUUUUAAAACUUGUCCCAUCUCUCUACUAAGCAGAAAGAAAUUAUUUCUUUCUUAAGAAAACAGAAAUGUGCAGGAUUAAAUGAGUUGUCCAAGGUGAUCCCACUAGUAAAGAACAGAGCCAGGCUCAGCAGCACGGCAGUUGCUAUUCUCAAGUCAGUGGCUCCCUUGCUCAUGUUUCUCAGGUAACACUGAUCCUCUUCAGCAGGAUCAGUAUGCAUGGCCCACUUCAUCUAUGGGACACUAGGCACGGAGAAUAUAAGGUGUCUGGGAAGUUUCUCCCCAUGGGUUCAGGAGACAGAAUACAGAGACACUGGCUUUCUACAAUGUCACAGACUCAGCUCUGCCUGCUGGACUCAGCCUGCUUCAGGCAAGGAGCCUUUGGUACCCUGCUGCCUGCAAACUACUGGCCACACAGAGACUUGUCAGGGAUAUCAGGGGUCUCUGCAUGCAUAUGUUGUUGGAGACAUUGCACAAAAUCGCAAAGAGAAGGAUGGUCAGUGGCACCUUGGGACCUACUACUCUGUGCUUCCAAGAAGGGUGAGGUUUUUGUGUCCCAAGAUGUUUGUGGUACCCAGGGAGCAAGAUGCAGAUGGGAUGCAGCUCCCUGGAGGAACAUGUUCGUAGCCCUCCUGAUUGUCUCUAUUGAUAGGUAGGGAGAACAUUCUAUGAAAUGACAAAGCAAAUACUGAAUCCUUGGCAACUGUCCCACUGUGUCUGAGAACUGACCGUUUGUUACAUCACAGUGUCUUUUUGGUUUGAGACAUUCCGUUUUUAAAAAUCUCGAAUCAUAGCUGGGUAUGAUGGUCCAUACCUGCAACCUCAGAACUCCAGGGACAGAGGAAGGAGGACCAAUAACCCGUAUCCGCCGCUGACACAGAGCAGAGCAAGGAAGGGCUGGGCCAUGUGAGACUCUGUCUCUGUGUGUAUUUACAUAGUAUAAUGGAAGGGCUACGAAACUACCUUUGUCACAGACUUACCCAGCUUUGCCUGUGGGGCAUUUGACACCCUGCCUUCAAAGAUCUCUGUUACGAUUCUAUGUCUCAGGCCAUAGCUACCUAUGUCAACUCCCUUGGAGAAGAGAGCCAUCCAUUUCGGUUAAGCCAACUUUUAUGCAUAUGUCUAUUUGCCAUAUUCUAAACAGUCAUUCACCAUGCACAGUGGUGAUUGAUAGUGAAGCAGCCAGCAGUGUGUCAGCUUUUCAACCUGAAGUAAGAGGCAUUUGAAGCUUUUGUGCAUCGGGAAGUUAGUGGUCAGUCAUCCCAAUAGGCCAGAGCUUUUCAGAUGGUUAUGUAACCUAAGGAGCUAAAGGUGACAGAUGCUACCCAGAUGAUCUCAAUGAUGACCAAUUUCUAUGUCUUUUUGGUCUACAAAUUGUAGAAACAGUGAUGCAUGCUUUUUCCACUUGACAUUUGUGAAAAGGUAAAAAUGUGCUUACUUUUGAUAGCACUCAGAUUGAACUCAGAUUUAAUGCUGAUCACUCAGAUCGAACUUGAGUCGGUCAAACCUGAUUCCUUAACUCCAGCCCAGGUCUAACCUCCUGGCUGUGCAACCUGAUCCCAAAGCGCUAUGAUUAAAGUGGUUCUUUGCUUGAUUUAAUGUUCUGACACUGUUGUCUGGCAAUUCUUCAUGAUGUCAUCUUUGAAUGUAGGUUUGUAAGUUAAAUAUGAUGGGAUGGUGGGACAUGAGUAGAGAGAGCGGGUAUAUUCAGCGUGUAUAUCUAGCCCCGUUCUCAAGUAACAUUAAUUGUGCCCAGUGAACAAAGAAUUCUGAUACCACAGUGCUUUAGAGUUAAAGGGAACAGAGAGGUUCCUAGGUAAAUAUGUGACUUAAGAAGGUACACAGACAGUCUGCACAAGCUAUGCUUCCUGUGUAAUCCGGUGCUUCCUUUGAAUAAAGAAAGAAGCUAAUGCCAUCCUAAGAGCCAGGAUUCACACUGUAGCAUGUCCUGUGAGCUCCCUGACUGGCCAGGCCAUUGACUUACAGAAACAAUGGUGUCACAGAAGAAAGGGAAGGGUGGAGCAACCCAUAGCUGUUGUUGCUUUCAGGCUCUACUUACUCAUCUAUAAGUCCAAGAUGGCUUUAGUGGGGGAUGCGAAUAUG